ensembl:snoRNA small nucleolar SNORD12/SNORD106
AAUGUGGUUAAUGAUGACUAAUUUUUUUCCCCAUCUUAUCGAAUCUGGUGAAAUCCAAGCUGAAAAUAAGCCAAUUUUGUCUGAAACCACAUC